UACAGAGGUCUCAAGCGUUGCUCGGAUUCAUUGGGCGUAAAGGGUGCGUAGGUGGCGCGCUAAGUCGGGGUGUGAAAUCUCGGAGCUUAACUCCGAAAUUGCAUUCGAUACUGGCGUGCUUUGAGGACUGGAGAGGAGACUGGAAUUCAUGGUGUAGCAGUGAAAAUGCGUAGAGAUCAUGAGGAAGACCAGUGGCGAAAGGCGGGUCUCUGGACAGUUCCUGACACUGAGGCACGAAGGCCAGGGGAGCAAAACGGG
rnacentral:rRNA from 1 species